GGUAAGAUGGCUGAGUAAGGCAUUAGACUGUAAAUCUAAAGACAGGGGUUAAAUUCCCCUUCUUACCA
rnacentral:tRNA from 1 species